rnacentral:rRNA from 1 species
CAGUAGCCGCGGGAAUACAGAGGGUGCGAGCGUUAAUCGGAUUUACUGGGCGUAAAGCGUGCGUAGGCGGCUAAUUGAGUCGGAUGUGAAAUCCCCGAGCUUAACUUGGGAAUUGCAUUCGAUACUGGUUAGCUAGAGUGUGGGAGAGGAUGGUAGAAUUCCAGGUGUAGCGGUGAAAUGCGUAGAGAUCUGGAGGAAUACCGAUGGCGAAGGCAGCCAUCUGGCCUAACACUGACGCUGAGGUACGAAAGCAUGGGGAGCAAACAGGAUUAGAUACCCCCGUAGUCCCUGUCUCUUAUAU